UUUUGGGCCUUCAUUCAUAUUCCUAUACAAACAUCAACAUUUCUAUAACAAGUUCAAGUUUGGGUUUCACAGAUAUAAAAAUACACAUGAUUAAUUAAAGAUAUUUAUAAAAAUAUAGUGAAUAAUUGAUGUUUACAUGUAUUUUAUCAUCCAUUAAGACGACCUACAGUCUAUAUAUGUGUUCAAAUGUGUUAACUAAACAUAUAAGACGCCCUAUAGUGAAGUUUAUACAGCUCAGAGAGUCUGUGUUUGUAUUUAUGUGUGGCAGUAAUGUGUUUAAGAUGCUCUUUUCGACAUUUACCGUUAGGGCUGAUGCUCCGGGCGGCAGCAGGAGAGGGGCCGAAGCCGCCCUCAGCCUGAGCCUGCCCGGCUACGCCAUCUGCUGGAUCUUGUAGAUGUUCGACGUCCAGCGAGGCCGGCAUCACGGCGUUUCUUCUAAUUAGGGCCUUGUGUAGGAAUUCUGCUGCUGGUGAAAAGAACUGUGCCAUGUUUUUCCAGCCCUGGACUCCGAAUCCUGAACGCACAUUGUAUUUGGCUUUGUUCCUCGCUGUUUUCCUGCACAAGAACACAACAACAUCAUCAAUUUCCCUUCACUUUCACUGACUGAAAAGCUGAAUUCACGAUGAAGAACACACAGCGCUCACUCUGGAGUUCUGUAAAUCUACAAAUGCUGAAUUUAACAAAGUUUACAGGAGCUUGUUAUUGUUUAAAUAACGCAGAUUUUUCUUGCAGAUUUUGGCCACAUUGUAAAACAAAUCCACAAACUAACAGUUUUCAGCAUUUUGUGCUUUUUUUUACUCCAUCUGUCCUCAAAUCUGUAGUCAAAUAGUUUGAAGUAGUGUGGUCACGAUACUGGGAUUUCAGACUUUAAUACGAUACCUUGAAAAACAUCAAUACCCUACUAUAUGAUUUUCGAUACUACAAGUUAAAAAUAUCGAUAUUUGGUACAAGUUUCGAUACCAAGGAACGAGGAAGUAGUAUGUCCCAAAGCUUGCAUACUUUUAGGGUGUAGUAUAAGUAUGCGAAUUGGGACGCAACAACUGACUGAGCACUGAGCGAACAAAAACCAGCCUCAGACAGUAUUUUACCAGUCUGAAUUUGAGGACUGAAUUUGAUUGCUGGUUCACAAGCGGAAUAAAAUGGCAGGGAGAAAUACCCAAACCACAACAACAUGAUAAAACAUGACUUAAAAAC